rnacentral:rRNA from 1 species
GAUGAACGCUGGCGGCGUGCCUAAUACAUGCAAGUCGAGCGAACAGACGAGGAGCUUGCUCCUCUGACGUUAGCGGCGGACGGGUGAGUAACACGUGGAUAACCUACCUAUAAGACUGGGAUAACUUCGGGAAACCGGAGCUAAUACCGGAUAAUAUAUUGAACCGCAUGGUUCAAUAGUGAAAGACGGUUUUGCUGUCACUUAUAGAUGGAUCCGCGCCGCAUUAGCUAGUUGGUAAGGUAACGGCUUACCAAGGCGACGAUGCGUAGCCGACCUGAGAGGGUGAUCGGCCACACUGGAACUGAGACACGGUCCAGACUCCUACGGGAGGCAGCAGUAGGGAAUCUUCCGCAAUGGGCGAAAGCCUGACGGAGCAACGCCGCGUGAGUGAUGAAGGUCUUCGGAUCGUAAAACUCUGUUAUUAGGGAAGAAAAAAUGUGUAAGUAACUAUGCACGUAUUGACGGUACCUAAUCAGAAAGCCACGGCUAACUACGUG